rnacentral:lncRNA from 1 species
GUGAACUAGCAAGUUUGUCGUUUUGGACAACAGAGCAAACAUUUCAGUAAGUGAUUCCAAAGUAUUAGCCUUAUUAUACUAAUGUUUUUGUUUUGUUUCCUAAAAAUCUAUAAUUAUAAGAAGUAAUAAUUUAGUAAUAAAAUAUUCUUGACAUCAUUACUUAAGUUACUUUUAUUACGCGGCACGUCAGUGUUUUUCACGGUUUGUUUCAUAUAUUGCAUCUCAUUACUAUAAAGUUGUCUCGAGUAUCAAGAAUAUAUAUCGUUUCAAGAAUAGAUUGUUGAUAGCCUGAGUUGCUGAGAAAAUAUCAUGCAUCUCUUUUAAGUUUAUUGACAGAGUUAUUUGAUUGCAGACCUGGCUGAUCAGAAUUUCCAGCGCACAUGUGCAUCGAGUGCCAUCUGCUCUACCUGUGCAUGGCGUUAAUUGGCAUCAUAGUGAUUUAGGGUUGGGUAAACUGAGCUAACUGGUUUAGGGUUCAACUCAUAGAUAUCUUAUAUACACUAGAUAGUGCAUCUAAUUAUUCUGUAAUUCAAAAAUUGAAGCCGUGAUUGCAGACUCAGGAUAUUCAAAUGAAAUGAGAAGACUCGUAUGCAGGGGCGUAAAUGUGUGUGUGUGUGUGUGUGGGGGGGGGGGUCACCCCCCCAGAGAAAUGAUCCAGGCGGUCUCAAACUAAGUGCAGUCGGUCUAAAAAUUAUGCGUUUGUUUACAUGCAGUGCUUUGCGAAGCAAAUUAAAUAUUCAGGCAAAACUCUAGAUAGACUCAAACUAUUGAGUAUUGAGUUGGAAAUUUGCUCAAAUGGAUCAAUCAGCUCAGAAAUAAUAUGAAGAAAUAUUCACGUACUUAUUUCGCGAGUUUAUGAACGAAUUAUCAGUCAAAACACGCGUAAAGGGAUGAAGUUUCAUUUACUUUCCAAACAUAGAGAUAUCUAUAUGUUACGAUUACGUGUUGGCACCACUGGUACCCGGUUGGCACUUUUAUUUGGAAUUUAGGUUCUGCAAGGUCAUUCACGGGUGAUAUUCUAUAUUAGCAAAAAUUCCAAACCCCCCAAAUCAGACUCCAAAAUGCGAUGAAUCUCGAUCAAAAAUGGGACCGGAGAAAUAUUGCAACUAAUGUUAGCUAUUUUGAAUCAAAAUAGCUAACAUUAGUUGCAAUAUUUCUCCGGUCCCUAAACUAUAUUUUUAAGAUGCAAAGUGCAAAAACGAAUUUCUAGCCGAGUUAUAUUAGGAAGUAUGUUCACAUGUAACACGAUAUGCAUAUGCAUUUUGUUACCAAAGAGCUUUAUGUGCCUACUGCAAUCAAGAAAUUCGAUCAAUGACUACGACGCACAGCUCGUUUAACUGAAAUCACGGAGCGAAAAAUUGUUUCCACUGACUAGGCGAUGUUUCCAAUUGUUGCUUACAAUCAGGCCCAUAACUAGGUAUAUGAGUCAAUCGAGCUGUUCAAGUUCAAUGACAGACUGUAGUUCUCUCCAUGUAAAGAAGCAUUCUUCUUGCCCUAUAGUGACGUAAGAAAUGGGAGGCUGUGUGGGUGCACAAGUACCCCAAUAACAAAAAUGCGGGCCAGCGCCCAAAUAUUACAACAAUUGAGUACAAACACUUUUUUAUUAUGCACCCGAUCAAUGAUGUUCGACAAAAAAUAUUUGUAAUUCUUAGCCUCAGGAUUGGGGGAAAACUACAGUAUAAAAUUAUAGUCAUAUAUUGUGGAAGAACUGGAAAUCCCCCCUUUCGUACGUCUAUAAGCAAAAUUGGUGAUAAUUUCUGCAUGUUACAUUCGUAUAAAUAACAGUGAAAGAAUGGAUUUGAAACACAUUUCAUUUCGUUAAACGUUUUGUUACUCUUUGUCAGUCAAAAUCAUUUUGUGUUCGUCUGUAGCUGGACUUAAUUAUAAACAUUCUAUUAUAAAGAAUUGGCAACACAGUGGAAUGUGGGAGUUAAAGAGGAUGCACUCCGAUGCACGUAAUUAAGUGCAGAUGUGUUGAAGUCCUUGACAAAAUUUAUAGUUAUAUAUAUUGGCUAAGAUCACUAGACGACCACAGUGACAUAUUUGGUUGAAGAGUGGUAUUCAAGGAUUGCUCAGGACCUCAGAGGAGGCAAGGCGGCUUCUCUAACUUUCCAGAACCUAAAAUGGUAAACGAAAUUUAAUAUUUCCGAUUUGCUUCUCUUACAGUUAUAUGCUAAAAUUGAACAACAUGCAUGCACCCCAGCGCUGUUGAAAUAAUUAUCCACACGAAGGAAAAUAUAAUACACAUUGAUAGUUUCCAACCCCUUUUGCACGGUUUUCGACUACUUGACAGCAGUUUAAUUAAUAUAGAACAGUAUCCGAUACUCUAUGGUAGUCCAUAUAUUCCUACACUCAUGGGGUGCUUUCCAUUUAAUAGCCUGACCGGUCAGACCCAAAUUCUUCUCUCUGUAUCAAUGGAAAGAUCUGGUCUAUGUUUCUCAAAUAUCUAGCGAAAAUGGACCUCAUAUAUUCUAAUUUUAUCUAAAUUUUCCGGUCAGAUAGGUUCGAAGCCCAAAUGUUUUGUAUUCCAUUCAACACUUUGACCGUUCUGGCCGUGUUAAUGGAAAGCGCCCUUGGAUAUCAACAUUUGAAUGUUGAAGAUUAUAUACUGUUUUCUCAAAAAAAUCCCUGCAUCAAAACCUGUCAUCACGAGACUAUAUGUAAAAUCUAUAUAAGACGCAACUGAUUGACUAGCAUAUAACCACACUGAAAACCUGUGUUUUGAGCAUCGAUAAUUCAUGUGCGGUCGACGUGAUUUAAAACAGUUUUAAUUAUUAGAAAUCGGACUUUGUGGGAGAUGAAAGAAACUUCGAGGAAGUAUAAGUUCCUACAAGGAGCUUGUUAAGUGUAAGUAAAAUGAAAAAAGGAUACUGAAAAGAAACAAUGAACUAACCUAGACAAUUAACUGAUAAACUGUAAAAUAAACAGUAUCCAUGACACCCUUAUGAAUGACCAGUUUAUAUGCAACAUGCAAUUGCUAUUUAUAUAGUUUCAUCUUACUGUCAUAAUUUAUUAACCAAAACACUGUAUAUGUAAUGACGAAACUGGAUUUCCAAGAAAAGGCUUAUAAAUGGUCAAUAUUGAUCAAUCUUUCAUAGGUCUUCAAGGACAAGGAACGUUUUCGACGUUCCAAUGACCAUGGCCGUCGUGAAGUAUAAAAUGCAGGCUAUAUAAGAGUAAAUUAAAGUUUGAAAUGAUGAUAUAAAUUGAAAUGUAUAUUGCACGAGAGGACGCAAAUCAGUUCAUCUUCAAUUCAUCAUUUGGUUUUCGUGUGAUCUUAAAUUAAUGUGGUAUUUCAUUAAGUUUACGUCCUGAAACCUCAGUGGAAAAGUAUGCUUUAACACUCACUAUAGCUUUAAAAACAAGCCGAUAUGGUUGGCCACGGACACGAGUAUUCCAACGCUGUACCUCGAAACGUCGAUCAAGACGUAUUUUCUCUCCACACACUCUUUUUAAUCUUUAUUUUUUAACAAUCAUCUACAUUCCGCAUGUUUGUCUAUACUGUACAUAUAUAUACUGAUAUAAUUUUUAUGAACAGAUAUUCCAAUUCUCCCUUCUCCGAGCUCCGUCAUUGCAAUCUCUUAUUUUGCAAACUGUAGCUAACUUAUAAGUGCAUGCCAUUGAAAUAUAAAUAAAAAGAAAUUGAAGUAAUAAAUGAGUGCUAAAUCAGAAGAUUGAUUAUAAUAUAUAUAAUGAUUUCUGUUAGAAACUGAAAGCAUAUACUAGCAAUACCUUUAUUUAAAUUAUAGACAGUCAACUAUCCGGAGAAACAUAGCUGAGAAGUUAUAAAGAUGUUGUACACCAUAUUAUAAUGAACUGCAGUCUGCAUGCGGCGGUGUGUCGAAGUACUUGACAAAAUUUUAUAAUUGGCGGGGACUGGCAUGGUCGAUCACAGAGACUCAAAUUUGAGAAUAUUGAAAGAGUGGUGUUCUGUCGUUAUCCACGAUCUCAGAGGAGGUGAAGCGGCUUCUCUGACGUGUGAGAAC